UAUAAUGAAUUUAUUAGGGUUUAACUCACAAUAAAAAAAACUUAAUUUCAAGUAAUAUAUAUCAUUCGUAACACAACACUAACAAAUAUCAAAGUAUCUUAAUUAUUGCAUAAUUAUUGGAAUUAAAUUUAACAUCUAUCAAAAUACUCUAAAAAAAUAUUUUAAAAAAUAAAUUUUUGUAAACACUUAAAUAAUACUAACUCUAAGUCAAGAGUGCUCUCUCAUUAGUCUCCUAAAGAAACAGUUCUGUGAUGGUUGGGUAGUGAGUAGGGCAGCGACAAAGAUAGCUAUGUUGAGAGACAAUAUUUCUCUUUUGGAAGAAGAAUUGGUACAUCUGAUAGUAAAAAGUUUGCUAGUAGUCCCCAAUAGAAAGUCGACUCUUUUAGGGAUGGUAUGGACGAUGAAAUCCUACAAUCUGGAUAGCUUUAGAUCCCAAUUGAAGAGUAUCUGGAAAACAAAAAAAACAAAUUGAGAUUAAGAUUGCUGGUCAAACUUGUUCAAGAUUGAAUUUGAAUAUGAGGGAGAUCUGGAAUUAAUAAUGGCAGGAAGACCAUGGUUUUUUUAACGUAACAUGAUGAUUUUAAAAAAAUGGAAAAACCGAUAGAUAAUAGCAAUAUUUGUUUGAUUCAGUCCCAUUUUUGGCUUAAAAUAGGUCAUUUUCCACCUAAAUGUGACAAAAAGACCUUACAUAUGCAAUUGGAUCCACCUUUGGAAGAACCAUUAGCUCAGAACUAAUGGGGGAAUUUUGCCGUAUAAAAGUAGAGUUAAAUGUUCAAAAGCCAUUAUGUAAGGGGAUCUUCAUUUUGGUAGGCACGUAAGAAAUUCCUUUUAAAUAUGAAAAUUUGCCUAGUUUUUGCUUUGGAUGCGGGCGUAUAGGACAUGGGAUCAAGGAUUGCAAUGACACUCCAGAUGAAUCUAAGGAAUUAUCGAAUGAGGAUUUACCUUUCUCGCUAGCCCUGAAAGCCAGAUCAAUUUUGAUAGGAAAAGUCAGUAUGCAACUAGGAGUCACCAUGAAGAAAUCAAUGCCACAACACUACUACUUAGGAAGAUCUGAUGAAGGAAUGGAGGGCAACUCGAAUUCUGAUACUAUUUAGGGGGAGAAAGAGGACGUCAAUGAAGGACAGUUUGGGAAUAAGAGAGGUCGAGACCAACUUGAACUCAAAUUGGUUAUGAGUGGAUAUUAAGGGAAAAUAUAAGGAUAAAGUUUGGUGUGAGGGUAAGGAGGAA
rnacentral:lncRNA from 1 species